rnacentral:rRNA from 1 species
UAAUACGUAGGAGGCAAGCGUUAUCCGGAUUUACUGGGCGUAAAGAGGGCGCGGGCGGUUCUUCAAGUCGGAUGUAAAAUCUCCCGGCUUAACUGGGAGGGAUCAUUCGAUACUGUUGGGCUAGAGGACAGCAGAGGGAGGUGGAAUUCCCGGUGUAGUGGUGAAAUGCGUAGAUAUCGGGAGGAACACCAGUGGCGAAGGCGGCCUCCUGGGCUGUGCCUGACGCUGAGGCCCAAAGGCGUGGGGAGCGAACAGGAUCAGAUACCCUGGUAGUCCACGCAGUAAACUAUGGACACUAGGUAUAGGGAGUAUCGACCCUCUCUGUGCCGAAGCCAACGCUUUAAGUGUCCCGCCUGGGGAGUACGGCCGCAAGGCUA